AAGCGGAGGAAAAGAAACUAACAAGGAUUCCCCUAGUAGCGGCGAGCGAAGCGGGAAGAGCUUCAAAUUUUAUAAUCUGGCACCUUUCGGUGUUCCGAGUUGUAAUCUCUAGAAAUGUUUUCCGCGUUGGACCGCACACAAGUCUGUUGGAAUACAGCGGCAUAGUGGUGAGACCCCCGUAUAUGGUGCGGACGCCCAGCGCUUUGUGAUACAUUUUCGAAGAGUCGAGUUGUUUGGGAAUGCAGCUCAAAUUGGGUGGUAAAUUCCAUCUAAAGCUAAAUAUUGGCGAGAGACCGAUAGCGAACAAGUACCGUGAGGGAAAGAUGAAAAGCACUUUGGAAAGAGAGUUAACAGUACGUGAAAUUGUUGGAAGGGAAACGCUUGAAGUCAGACUUGCUUGCCGAGCAAUCGGUUUGCAGGCCAGCAUCAGUUUUCCGGGAUGGAUAAUGGUAAAGAGAAGGUAGCAGUUUCGGCUGUGUUAUAGCUCUCUACUGGAUACAUCCUGGGGGACUGAGGAACGCAGUGUGCCUUUGGCGGGGGUUUCGACCUCUUCACACUUAGGAUGCUGGUGGAAUGGCUUUAAACGCCCGUCU
rnacentral:rRNA from 1 species